UGCUCCCGAUGUAUGGUGUCCGCAGCAAUUGCGGUCCCCCGUGAAGGACUCCGUCCGGGCGUCCGUAACUGUAAUGGGGGGGGGAGCACAGAGCUGGGCAAGACCGGUGCCAGCCGCCGCGGUAAUACCGGCAGCUCAAGUGAUGACCGAUAUUAUUGGGCCUAAAGCGUCCGUAGCCGGCCACGAAGGUUCAUCGGGAAAUCCGCCAGCUCAACUGGCGGGCGUCCGGUGAAAACCACGUGGCUUGGGACCGGAAGGCUCGAGGGGUACGUCCGGGGUAGGAGUGAAAUCCUGUAAUCCUGGACGGACCACCGAUGGCGAAAGCACCUCGAGAAGACGGAUCCGACGGUGAGGGACGAAAGCUAGGGUCUCGAACCGGAUUAAAUACCCGGGUAGUCCUAGCUGUAAACGAUGCUCGCUAGGUGUGGCACAGGCUACAAGCCUGUGUUGUGCCGUAGGGAAGCCCAAAAGCGAGCCGCCUGGGAAGUACGUCCGCAAGGAUGAAACUUAAAGGAAUUGGCGGGGGACCACA
rnacentral:rRNA from 1 species